rnacentral:rRNA from 1 species
UACGUAGGGUCCGAGCGUUGUCCGGAAUUACUGGGCGUAAAGAGCUCGUAGGUGGUUUGUCGCGUUGUUCGUGAAAACUCACAGCUUAACUGUGGGCGUGCGGGCGAUACGGGCAGACUUGAGUACUGCAGGGGAGACUGGAAUUCCUGGUGUAGCGGUGGAAUGCGCAGAUAUCGGGAGGAACACCGGUGGCGAAGGCAGAUCUCUGGGCCGUAACUGACGCUGAGGAGCGAAAGCAUGGGGAGCGAACAGG